AAGCAUUGGGUUAUUAGUGCCUCCUGGACUUACCAUAUCUACAGAAGCAUGCCAAGAAUAUCAGCAUAAUGGACAAAAGCUGGCAGAAGACUUGCAGGAACAGCAAAGGCUAUAAUGAUCGUCCUCCAUAUGAGUGGGAAAUGUACAAGUUACAUACAUGCUUGGUCCCAGCUUAUGGGAUUUUAAUAUAAAACCUAAGAAGGUAAUAGUCUGCAGGUGUACCAAUAGCAACACUUUUUAUCCAAGUAACCCAUGUAAAGAAGGGGCAUUUUCAAAUCCAUGGCCUUUCUUGACUCCAUUGUUGUUCCUACAGAUUCUCUGUGGACUCUCUUCAAUUUAUGUUGGCAGCUUUUCAAGUUCAUUAUUCCUCUUCAUCUUCAUAACAUAACAUUGAGUCUCGAACUUUAAGAUGAUACAUCAUAUCUUUCUAAAUGAUGGAUUUAUGUGCAUGCUCCUUAUGGGU